UUACGGCCACACCGCAUUAAAACACCGGUUCCCGUGCAAUCACCAAAAUUAAGCAACGUUGAGCCUGGUCAGUACCUACAUGGGUGACCGCUCGGGAAUACCAG